rnacentral:pre_miRNA from 1 species
GCAUUUAUAUCAAAACGUCAGGUUUUGGUGGAAAAGAAAACAUGGCGUUUUGGUAAGAAUGCU